rnacentral:rRNA from 1 species
CGCGUAGGUGGUCGGGUAAGUCAGAUGUGAAAGCUCUGGGCUCAACCCAGGAAUUGCAUUUGAUACUGUCUGACUUGAGUACGGUAGAGGAGAGUGGAAUUCCCAGUGUAGCGGUGAAAUGCGUAGAUAUUGGGAGGAACACCGGUGGCGAAGGCGGCUCUCUGGACCGAAACUGACACUGAAGCGCGAAAGCCAGGGGAGCAAACGGGAUUAGAUACCCCGGUAGUCCUGGCCGUAAACGAUGAGUACUAGGUGUAGGAGGUAUUGACCCCUUCUGUGCCGCAGCUAACGCAUUAAGUACUCCGCCUGGGGACUACGACCGCAAGGUUGAA